rnacentral:rRNA from 1 species
CAAACUGAAGAUGGCGACCGGCGCACGGGUGAGUAACACGUAUCCAACCUGCCGAUAACUCCGGAAUAGCCUUUCGAAAGAAAGAUUAAUACCGGAUAGUAUACGAAUAUCGCAUGAUAUUUUUAUUAAAGAAUUUCGGUUAUCGAUGGGGAUGCGUUCCAUUAGUUUGUUGGCGGGGUAACGGCCCACCAAGACUACGAUGGAUAGGGGUUCUGAGAGGAAGGUCCCCCACAUUGGAACUGAGACGCGGUCCAA